rnacentral:rRNA from 1 species
UACGUAGGGGGCGAGCGUUACCCGGAUUUACUGGGCGUAAAGGGCGCGUAGGCGGCCGGGCAAGUCUGGUGUGAAAGCCCAGGGCUCAACCCUGGAAGGGCACUGGAAACUGUGCGGCUUGAGUGCCGGAGAGGAGGGGGGAAUUCCCGGUGUAGCGGUGAAAUGCGUAGAUAUCGGGAGGAAUACCGGUGGCGAAGGCGCCCCUCUGGACGGUAACUGACGCUGAGGCGCGAAAGCGUGGGGAGCAAACAGG